GACGAAUGGUUCCACCUUCUUGAUUUUCUUGGUUAUUUCUUACAAUUUGUGUCGGUUAUAAAUAAAAUUCAACGAGAGCCACGAUAGAUUUGGUGUGAUGAUAUUUGAAUGAUUGAGGUUGAAGGAAUGAUUGUCAUCUUAAGUAAUGUGAGACUAUUUCAAAGUGGAAGGUUGCUUAGCUGUUGCUUUCUUCGUCCCCAAUUCUCUUCCCAUGUGGGAUCCUCGUGGUCUGGUCACUU